GAUGAACGCUGGCGGCGUGCCUAAUACAUGCAAGUCGAGCGAACAGAUAAGGAGCUUGCUCCUUUGACGUUAGCGGCGGACGGGUGAGUAACACGUGGGUAACCUACCUAUAAGACUGGGAUAACUUCGGGAAACCGGAGCUAAUACCGGAUAACAUUUGGAACCGCAUGGUUCUAUAGUGAAAGAUGGUUUUGCUAUCACUUAUAGAUGGACCCGCGCCGUAUUAGCUAGUUGGUAAGGUAACGGCUUACCAAGGCAACGAUACGUAGCCGACCUGAGAGGGUGAUCGGCCACACUGGAACUGAGACACGGUCCAGACUCCUACGGGAGGCAGCAGUAGGGAAUCUUCCGCAAUGGGCGAAAGCCUGACGGAGCAACGCCGCGUGAGUGAUGAAGGGUUUCGGAUCGUAAAACUCUGUUAUUAGGGAAGAACAAACGUGUAAGUAACUGUGCACGUCUUGACGGUACCUAAUCAGAAAGCCACGGCUAACUACGUG
rnacentral:rRNA from 1 species